UAGAUCGAACAACCCAGACCAUUCAAGAAGGAUCGAGGUUGAGACCCGCGUGCGCGACCCGGAAACCCGGAAAGAGGAUCCAACCGGCGCCCCACCUUCCGGUCAUCUCCCGGUGGCAGACCACCUACAUUCAAACCCUCUCCUUAGCGCCGAUGUUCUCUUGUGCGGUGGAUUAACCAAUCGGCGACGAACGGCGAUGGUACGACGUCCAGAAGCCGCUGCAAUUUCCGGCGAUUAUCCUUCAAUUUCCGGCAAUGAUACAGCAGUGUACUGGUAUCAUUUGAAUCCUCUCGUCAUCACCGACCUUUCUGUGCUCUUAGAUCGUUCAUGCAUUAGCUGUAGAGAGAGAAUCGACAUUCGGAAGCUUUGACAGCUUCGAUGAGUUUUCCAGCGAAGCCGGCGACGG
rnacentral:lncRNA from 1 species